CUUGACGGCUGUAGCACCGCCCCCAGGUUGUCCGGGUAACGGCAGGCGCGCGUGGUCACGGAAGAGGCUGUUACCCUUAAAGAAUGGCAGAGGCAGUCUUCCGUGCCCCGAAGAGGAAAAGAAGAGUAUAUGAGAGUUAUGAGUCACCACUGCCCAUCCCCUUUGGUAAGGACCAAGGUCCCAGGAAGGAAUUCCGAAUAUUCCGAGCCGAAAUGAUUAGCAACAAUGUGGUAGUCAGGGGCGUGGAGGACAUGGAGCAGCUAUAUGGAAAGGGCUACUUUGGAAAAGGCGUUCUUUCAAGAAGCCGUCCGAACUUCACAAUCUCCAAUCCCAAGCUGGCUGCCAGAUGGAAAGGUGUGCAGACAGACAUGCCUAUAAUCACCUCAGAGAAGUUUCAGCAUCGAGUGGAAUGGGCCACGGAUUUCAUGCGUAGACAGGGCCACGAUGAGAGCACUGUGCAAAAGACCCUCACAGACUACAUAGAGCCACUUGAGUAUCCUUGCAGAAGCGGGAAAGAAGAGGCCCCACGGCAUGACCCACUGAAUUCUGAGGCCAGCUCCUCCCUGGAAGGCAGAGUGGAAAAGGAUGAACUCUUCGUGACCACUGGAGGUGCUGGACAGUCAGAUGACCUCCAGGGUCUUAACACACGCUCAAAAGACUGUCUGCAGGAGCGGUCUGGCCAUGCCACACUCACUGUGGCUAGUCCAUCUAGCCUUAAUGGACAUGUGAUAGAGGACACCACAGUUCUGCCCCAGGUCCCCAGCCACAGGCAGGAAGUCCUCAUUCCUCAGGAUGGCCUGUGGCCUGAAGACAGCAGCCAGGCAGCAGGAGAGAAGCAGGCUGCUCAUGAGUACGUCCUCGUAGAGGAAGAGCUAUGUGAUGUCCAGGAGGAGGAGGCAGCCCCAGAUGAGAAGUUGCUUCAAAGAAAGCGACUGGUGUGCAGAAGAAAUCCAUACAGAAUCUUUGAGUAUCUGCAGCUCAGCCUAGAAGAGGCUUUCUUCCUGGCCUACGCCCUGGGAUGUUUAAGUAUUUACUAUGAGAAGGAGCCUUUAACAAUAGUGAAGCUCUGGCAAGCCUUCACUGCUGUCCAGCCCACCUUCAGGACUACCUACAUGGCCUACCACUACUUCCGAAGCAAAGGCUGGGUACCCAAAGUGGGGCUCAAGUAUGGAACAGAUCUGUACUGGCUGCACCCCAUCAUGUGUCAGAGUCCCAUGAAAAAGGCAGACUGGUAACUGGGUGGAGUGUGUGGUUAUGGAUCUUGUAUAGCCUCUUGACUGAAUUUCUUUCCUAUUUAUUCGUUUAUUUUAGUUUUUAUUUAUAAGUGUGUGCAUGAACUGAGGUUUGCAUGGGCACAUGUGCCAUGGUGUGGACACAAUGUAAGGGCAUUCAUACCAAGCAUUUUUACCUGCUGAGACAUCUUGCCAGCCCAUGCAUGUGAAUGCAUGUGUGAUGCAUGCGUUUGACUGCAGGUGAGCAUGCAUCAGGAGGUCAGAAGAGGAUAUCAGGUGGCUUCUUCUGUCAUUCUUUGCUUUAUUGCCUUGAGACAGAGUUUCUCAGUGAACCAGAACAGAAGCUCACUGUUUUGGCUGGGCUGGCCAGCAAGCCCUUGGGAUCCACCUACCACCCCCUCAUCCCCCUUCUCUUCCCCCACCACACCACAUCCCUGCCCUCUCCACCCCUGCUGCCGGGGUUCCAGGCAUGUGCAACCAUAACCCACCUUUUAUGUGGCUGAGGAUUGAAACUCAGGUCCUUAAACUCAAACAGCAUGUGUUCUUACUGCUCCAUCUCCCGAGGACCUGGAUUUCUACACCUGUGUAGGCUGAGAAGUGACCCUUGACUUCCCUGAAAAUAUCCUGAGGUCUGCUCUUCUCCAGGGCAACACCCGCACAGCACCCAGCAGUGGGGCCCACCCUCUCUGAAUUUGGUUGAUUUGGAACGAAUCACAAAUGCUGUACAUUUUAUGGACUUCAUGUUCUUUCUACCAUGUCACACACAUGGAAAAAGACACACCCACUUGUGGGUAGGAGUAUGGGCUGGGCAGAGUGAGUCACUGGACUCAGUCCCCAACCCCAGAGAAAGCCAGAAAGAAUGGCUUGUGUUUAACUCUGGGGGUGCUUGUGGGGUGGAUGAGGGUGGUUUGGGCAGCAGAUCUGACCAACUUCUUUGUUUCUGGGAGGAGGAGUUUGGAUCUGAAGCCAGGCUGCAGGGCAGAGAGCUGAGUGCCCUCAGGCAGAGAGCUGGGUGUUUGCUUUGCUCUGGCCUAGCUGUGAUGGGUUAACGUCUCCUUUCUCUUCUUUGCAGUGCUGUAUCGGAAAGGCCCUCCAUUUUACCAUGCAAGCUAUUCUGUCAUCGUUGAGC